CAGGGAAUCUUGCGCAAUGGACGGGAGUCCGACGCAGCGACACCGCGUGGGUGAAGACGGCCUUCGGGUUGUAAAGCCCUUUUCUGGGGGAAGAGAGAGGACGGUACUCCAGGAAUAAGUGUCGGCUAACUACGUGCCAGCAGCCGCGGUAAUACGUAGGACACGAGCGUUAUCCGGAUUUACUGGGCGUAAAGCGCCUGUAGGCGGUUCUUCAAGUCGUUUGUGAAAGCCCUGGGCUCAACCUGGGGAGGACAAGCGAUACUGGAGGACUUGAGGGUGACAGAGGGGAGUGGAAUUUCCGGUGUAGCGGUAAAAUGCGCAGAUAUCGAGAGGAACACCAGUGGCGAAGGCGGCUCCCUGGGUCACCCCUGACGCUGAGAGGCGAAAGCUAGGGGAGCAAACAG
rnacentral:rRNA from 1 species